GGCUCCGGCAGGGUGACCAGCCCCACGCAGUGGUCCCGGGGAGCCACCGGGCAGACCCGGCCGCCUAGCACGCCCUCCACGCACACCAGAUUAUCCUGCAAGGACUCAAUACUUUUAACUACUAUGCUAAAUUGCUUCUUGAAGGUCUUGGUGUCAUCACACAGAUGAGUGCAUUAAAAAAAAUGGAGCCUUAAAAUAAAAAAAUAUUAACAACACUAAGUACCACGGCUUGCGGGACCUUAGUUCCCUGACUAGGGAUUGAACCUGCGCCCCCCUGCAGUGGAAGCGUGGAGUCUUAACCACUGGACCGCCAGGGAAGUCCCACAAACUCACCUUUAAAAGAAGGGAGCCUCAAUAAUGUUUUGUAUUUAAAUUCCAUUUCCCAGUGCUUACGGUUGACAUUCAUCUAAUUAGUGAUCUGAUUCAACCCAAAACGUUUUUAUGGGAUGCCUAUUGUGUGCCCAAUAGAAAUACACUUUGAAACUAAAAAUCUUUUUUUCUUAAUUGAAUUAUAGUUGACUUAAAAUAUUAUAUUUGAAACUAAAAAUCUUUUAUAUUGGAUAAACAUAAUGAGAAUUUAUA